AUACGGGAGGCAGCAGUGGGGAAUUUUGCGCAAUGGGCUAACGCCUGACGCAGCAACGCCGCGUGGAGGAUGAAGGUCUUUGGAUUGUAAACUCCUGUCAGCAGGGAAAAAGCGAGUCGACCUAACACGUCGGUGAGUUGAUUGUACCUGCAGAGGAAGCCCCGGCUAACUCUGUGCCAGCAGCCGCGGUAAUACAGAGGGGGCAAGCGUUAUUCGGAAUUAUUGGGCGUAAAGGGCGCGUAGGCGGCUUGGCAAGUGGAAGGUGAAAUCCCUCGGCUUAACCGAGGAACUGCCUUCCAGACUGCUUUGCUUGAGGCCGGGAGAGGCGAGUGGAAUUCCCAGUGUAGCGGUGAAAUGCGUAGAUAUUGGGAGGAACACCAGUGGCGAAGGCGGCUCGCUGGACCGGUUCUGACGCUGAGGCGCGAAAGCGUGGGGAGCAAACGGGAUUAGAUACCCGCGUAGUCCC
rnacentral:rRNA from 1 species